rfam:Euryarchaeota archaeon TMED132 49210, whole genome shotgun sequence.
CCUGAAGGAUAAGAGCUGAAAGCAUCUAAGCUCGAAGCCACCCCAAAGACGAGACACCUCAGAACACUCGUAAAAGACGAGAUGAUAGACUGCGGAUGUAAGUACGAAGCUUCGGCGACGUAUUCAGUCCAGCAGCACUAAUGUUCGAGCAUCUUUUUCG